rnacentral:lncRNA from 1 species
AAGCUCAGCCCAUUGCCCUGUGAUCCCCUGCAGCACCUCAGGACUGCAGUGUCCUCACGGAUGAGAAGACUCACAUAAGAAUCAAUCUCUCACCCCUGGACUUCCCAGCCUCCAGAACUGUAAGAAAUGUGUUUUGUUGUUAUUGUUGUUGUUGUUAUUGUUUUACUAAAUUACCCAGUUUCAGGUAUCCUGCUACGAGCAACAGAUAUCUGACUAAGACAGAAACUAAGACAAGAACUUUCUUCAUACUUAUUUUUUAGGUGGCCUGGAGAGUCAGAUUUUAUUUAAAAAGAGAAAAUAAUGGAGUUUUGAACCACAUUUCCUUGAUUCUAAAAUACAAUCUGUCAAUUUUAAUGUUUCUAAAAUCAGGAUACCUCUUUCAUUGGGCAUGUACCUUUGAUAUAGAAACUUUUCUUCUGAAGAUAUUAUUAAAUAGAUAAUAUAUCUUAAAAUUUAUUGUACCUUAUAAUUGAGUAUAACAGUAUGAAAAAAUGAUAUGGGAAUAUUUGUGGUGAUUUGUGAAUACGCAGGACAGUUCAUGGUAAGAUUGAUGAGCAUACACUGUGGCUUCAUUCCCACCUCCACCCUUUAAAUACAAGCCUUCAAAUAAGGAAUUCCUGACAAUACCUCCACACAGCCAUGUGUUUAUGAUGAGAUCCAUCUCACACGUGAAGGAUGGUGCAUAAAAAUAUAAAAUGAUUUGAGCAAUGCCAAGUAUUGAAAAGCCAGAAGUAUAACGUAGUGUUCUGACUUCAUCUUACAGUAAGUAAUUACCUUUUCCACCCCUACCUCCCAUUUGUGUAAUCAAUUAUCAACCUACCUUAUGGCAAACAAUGUAAAACAUUUUCCCUCUUGUUUCAGUAAAGAUAGAAAUUCAUGGAAGCAAAUUUCAGGUCAACUGCUUGUAUCAUAUUAGGAAACAGAAUGCUGUUUUAAAAAAGGAGCAUAAUUCAGAGAGAAAAAGCAAGUAUCACGAUGGAAGGAUUUGGGUUUUAACCCUGGCUUCUUCACCUGGGUUUAUAUAAGUGAUUUAAUUUUUCCUCGAAUUCUUUUGACUGUCCCCAGCUAAUAACAUCCGAAAGAGAAUAAUAAAAUACUGACUCACUUCCCAGAGAUAUUUUAACCAGAGAUGAGUAAUAUUUUCAAAGGUUUUUCACUGCUACUCUUAAAGCGUAUUUCAAAAUCAAAAUAGCAUAAUUUUCUUCAAGCUCUUGCUUCUACAAAAGCAUAAUGCUCUUGUGUUUAAUAGCUUAAUCAGAGACAAAACUAAAUUUGAGAAGAUGGGGAAAGAAGAAUAGAGUAUGUAGUAAAGAAAAUAGCUGCAGAAGCCAGAUUUGUAAGCUCAAAUAAAUAAUCUAUUGUCAACCAUGAGCUACUUCAAGCAGUAAGCUUCCCUUCAAAUAUAAAACUUCUUAACUACCCCUCACAGUGCACCUGGAAUGUCAGUGAUGGUAGAGUUCACAGAUUCAAAGCUUAGUAGCUGCCUAGAUCUGAAAAACAAGGCUUUCAUCUUUAAGAAUGUUCCAAUAAUUGUUUUUGAGAAGCUCAGAGUGAAGGGCAAAUAGCUACAAACAACGGGCAGUUACCUUGUGAUCACAUUGAAGCCAUUAACGUAAAUAAAUAUUCUUUCCCUGAGGAAACACGUGGAGAACAAUCAUGAUUGGGUUGUCUUCAUAAAGGGAAAAAGCCCUAAUUGUAAAUCGAGUAGCUAUCAGUAGAUCAAUAUCAGAUUCAAUCAUGGAAACACUUCUGAAUUCAAGUGGAAGUAACCUUGACAAAAAUCAAGCCUAUUUGAUGUGAAGGGAAAAAUUUGAAAGCUCACAGCACACAUAAAUGCUCUUUCUUCUUAAUU